CGGGUGAGUAAUGUAUGGGGAUCUGCCUGAUGGCGGGGGAUAAUACUGGAAACGGUAGCUAAUACCGCAUAAUGUCUGCGGACCAAAGCGGGGGACCUCCGGGCCUCGCGCCAUCAGAUGAACCCAUAUGGGAUUAGCUAGUAGGUAAGGUAACGGCUUACCUAGGCGACGAUCCCUAGCUGGUCUGAGAGGAUGAUCAGCCACACUGGGACUGAGACACGGCCCAG
rnacentral:rRNA from 1 species